GACAGAGGGGGCAAGCGUUGCUCGGAAUUACUGGGCGUAAAGGGCGCGUAGGCGGGAUGGCAAGUCGGUCGUGAAAUCCCUCGGCUCAACCGAGGAACGUCGAUCGAUACUGCUGUUCUUGAGGAUUGCAGAGGAGACUGGAAUUCCCGGUGUAGCGGUGGAAUGCGUAGAGAUCGGGAAGAACAUCAGUGGCGAAGGCGGCCUGCUGGGCUGUUGCUGACGC
rnacentral:rRNA from 1 species